UGGGAUUAAAUUUAGGAGGUAGGCAUAUCCUUUCCAGAUAAAACUUUGAUUGGAAUCUGUGCUUCAUGAGCAGCAAUCAAUCUGCAUGCAGGCAGCCUGCUCCAGCUCAUUGGUCAAACUUCCAUAUGGCAGUUGGAACAGACACAGCUGGAAAACAUAGACAGUUUCUGUAAAUUUACACCAUUUUUUACAUUUGACUGCUAAAUGGUAGUCCCUGUUCUCCUGCAUUCUUGUUUUACUUUCGUAAGUAAAGCGGCAGUUUGUUGUGGAGAAGAAUUUCAAGGAAACAUUUGCUAGCUAUUUAACAUUAGCUCUCUGGCUAAUCCUCCAUGGACAUGGAAUCUUGUAGCUUGGAUGGAGGAAGGAACAAAGGGAAUGAGUUUAGAAAUUUCCUGAAACAUGUCAAUGACCUGAUGCAUGGCCUCUACAGGGGUGCUUGGCCACACACUCAGGUACCAGUGACCUAUUCUGCCACAUCGCCAGGGAAGGAAGAGAGCAGAACCACUCUUCCAUGAAUCCAUGACAGUGCGAAACCCUUGUCCUGAUUCAUGUAAAGUUGAUCUGACCCAUCAAACGACUUUUCAAGAGGGUCACCACGCUCCAGAUCUCUUUCUGUGCUCAGAGGUACUUGAUGAGGAUCUACCCCAUCACACCACUAAUGAAUUAUUAAUCAAAUAAAACAAUGGGCCUUUG